UAGAGAUAUGUCAUUACCAUUUCACUUGGAGUCCGCAAAAAACUAGGAACAGACUCCAGGUUAGACCUGGAGCUGGAGCUGGGGUCCCCUAACGAAGGUAGAGACCACUCUCUCACACAGAGUCCACUAUGCCACUAUGCGUAUGUAGCAAAGAGAGCUUGGAGCUGUGGAGAGAAGUCCGGGGUGACUUCACUGAAGAUCUGACACUGGACGAACUUGGGUGCUGGAUGACUCUCUCACUGUCCACUCCCCAGAGCCAUCUCCCGGAAAUAACAGGGAGAAGAGGGAAGCUAAUGGAGAUGAAGCAGAAGUUCCUUCCAGGGCUAGCACAAACAGCAGCUGACACUCUUUCCCAUUCUAUCGCCCAAACCCAAGUGUGUAGCAGCCUGCUGGAAAGCCCCUGGAAAUUCGCCUAACCACCUUCCUUGGUCUCCAAAGAAGUUAACAAAAAUAAUUCUGCUUUCUUCUGAGUUCUGCAUCAACCUAAUCUGCUUUCAUCAAGCUACUGCAAUGAACAGGAGAUACAGGCUUGGGAAAUUCAAGAAAGCCCAACCAGGCAGUUUGGUUUGUAUUUGGGGGUGGAGAGGAUAAGAGUGUUUCUUGCUCUUAGAAAGGACCUGAGUUCAGAUCUCAGUUCCCACAUGGGGGAGGGGGACUCACAACCACCUGUAAACUCCAGCUCCAGGUGAUCUGAUGUUUACGUCUGGCCUGGAGGCAUACAUGCAGACAGAAUACUGUACACAUAAAUAAUAAAAAAAAAAAAUCUUUAAAAAAAAAAGUUAAC
rnacentral:lncRNA from 1 species